rnacentral:rRNA from 1 species
UACGGAGGGUGCAAGCGUUGUUCGGAAUUACUGGGCGUAAAGGGCGUGUAGGCGGCUUAAUAAGUCAGCUGUGAAAUCCCCCGGCUCAACUGGGGGCUUGCAGUUGAAACUUAAAGGCUUGAGUGCAGGAGAGGAAGGUGGAAUUCCCAGUGUAGCGGUGAAAUGCGUAGAUAUUGGGAGGAACACCGGUGGCGAAGGCGGCCUUCUGGCCUGUAACUGACGCUGAGGCACGAAAGCGUGGGGAUCAAACAGG